CGGUGACGAUGGAGCUUGCUCUGUCUGAUCAGUGGCGAACGGGUGAGUAACACGUGAGUAACCUGCCCCCGACUCUGGAAUAACCGUGGGAAACGACGGCUAAUACCGGAUAUGAGACGCACAGGCAUCUGUGUGUCUGGAAAGAUUUAUCGGUCAGGGAUGGACUCGCGGCCUAUCAGCUUGUUGGUGGGGUAAUGGCCUACCAAGGCGACGACGGGUAGCCGGCCUGAGAGGGCGACCGGCCACACUGGGACUGAGAUACGGCCCAGACUCCUACGGGAGGCAGCAGUGGGGAAUAUUGCACAAUGGGCGCAAGCCUGAUGCAGCGACGCCGCGUGAGGGAUGAAGGCCUUCGGGUUGUAAACCUCUUUCAGCAGGGAAGAAGCGAAAGUGACGGUACCUGCAGAAGAAGCGCCGGCUAACUACGUGCCAGCAGCCGCGGUAAUACGUAGGGCGCAAGCGUUGUCCGGAAUUAUUGGGCGUAAAGAGCUCGUAGGCGGUUUGUCGCGUCUGCUGUGAAAACCUGAGGCUCAACCUCGGGCUUGCAGUGGGUACGGGCAGACUAUACUGCGGUAGGGGUGACUGGUAAUUCCUAGUGUAGCGGUGGAAUGCGCAGAUAUCAGGAGGAACACCGAUGGCGAAGGCAGGUCACUGGGCCGCAACUGACGCUGAGGAGCGAAAGCAUGGGGAGCGAACAGGAUUAGAUACCCUGGUAGUCCAUGCCGUAAACGUUGGGCACUAGGUGUGGGGCUCAUUCCACGAGUUCCGUGCCGCAGCAAACGCAUUAAGUGCCCCGCCUGGGGAGUACGGCCGCAAGGCUAAAACUCAAAGAAAUUGACGGGGGCCCGCACAAGCGGCGGAGCAUGCGGAUUAAUUCGAUGCAACGCGAAGAACCUUACCAAGGCUUGACAUACACCGGAAAAGUGCAGAGAUGUGCUCCCCGCAAGGUCGGUGUACAGGUGGUGCAUGGUUGUCGUCAGCUCGUGUCGUGAGAUGUUGGGUUAAGU
rnacentral:rRNA from 1 species